CUACGGGGGGCAGCAGUAAGGAAUCUUCCGCAAUGGGCGAAAGCCUGACGGAGCGACACCGCGUGAAGGAUGACACCUCUAGGGGCGUAAACUUCUUUUCUGAGUGAAUAAGUUCUGAAGUUAACUCAGGAAUAAGCGACGGCUAACUACGUGCCAGCAGCCGCGGUAAUACGUAGGUCGCGAGCGUUAAUCGGAAUCAUUGGGCGUAAAGGGUCCGCAGCCGGAAAAAUAAGUCUGAUGUUAAAGCACGGGGCUCAACCCCGUGUACGUAUCGGAAACUGUUUUUCUAGAGUAAUUGAGAGGUGCGUGGAAUUUCUGGUGUAGGGGUAAAAUCCGUAGAUACCAGAAGGAACACCAAAAGCGAAGGCAGCGCACUGGCAAUUUACUGACGGUCAGGGACGAAAGCGUGGGGAGCGAAAAGGAUUAGAUACCCCGGUAGUC
rnacentral:rRNA from 1 species